rnacentral:rRNA from 1 species
UACAGAGGUCUCAAGCGUUGUUCGGAUUCAUUGGGCGUAAAGGGUGCGUAGGUGGCGCUGUAAGUCGGGUGUGAAAUUUCGGAGCUUAACUCCGAAACUGCAUUCGAUACUGCGGUGCUUGAGGACUGGAGAGGAGACUGGAAUUCAUGGUGUAGCAGUGAAAUGCGUAGAGAUCAUGAGGAAGACCAGUGGCGAAGGCGGGUCUCUGGACAGUUCCUGACACUGAGGCACGAAAGCGUGGGGAGCAAACGGG